UACGAAGGGGGGCUAGCGUUGUUCGGAAUUACUGGGCGUAAAGCGCGCGCAGGCGGUCUUCCAAGUCAGUGGUGAAAGCCCGGAGCUCAACUCCGGAACUGCCAUUGAAACUGUUAGACUUGAGGAUGAGAGAGGUGAGUGGAAUUCCCAGUGUAGAGGUGAAAUUCGUAGAGAUCAGGAGGAACACCGGUGGCGAAGGCGGGUCUCUGGGCCGUAACUGACGCUGAGGAGCGAAAGCGUGGGGAGCGAACAGG
rnacentral:rRNA from 1 species